rnacentral:rRNA from 1 species
UACGUAGGGGGCAAGCGUUGUUCGGAAUUACUGGGCGUAAAGGGCGCGUAGGCGGCAUGGCAAGUCAGGAGUGAAAGGCCUGGGCUCAACCGAGGAACUGCUUUUGAUACUGCCAAGCUAGAGUGCGGAAGGGGCAACUGGAAUUCCUGGUGUAGCGGUGAAAUGCGCAGAUAUCAGGAAGAACACCAAUGGCGAAGGCAGCUCUCUGGGACGGUACUGACACUGAGACGCGAAAGCGUGGGGAGCGAACAGG